UACGUAGGGUGCAAGCGUUGUCCGGAAUUAUUGGGCGUAAAGAGCUCGUAGGCGGUUUGUCGCGUCUGCUGUGAAAACUGGAGGCUCAACCUCCAGCCUGCAGUGGGUACGGGCAGACUAGAGUGCGGUAGGGGAGAUUGGAAUUCCUGGUGUAGCGGUGGAAUGCGCAGAUAUCAGGAAGAACACCCGUGGCUAAGGCGGCUCUCUAGUACGGUACUGACGCUGAGACGCGAAAGCGUGGGGAGCGAACAGG
rnacentral:rRNA from 1 species